rnacentral:rRNA from 1 species
UACGCAGGGUGCAAGCGUUAAUCGGAAUUACUGGGCGUAAAGGGUGCGCAGGCGGUUUGGCAAGAAGGAUGUGAAAUCCCGGGGCUUAACCUCGGAACUGCAUUCUUAACUGCCAGGCUAGAGUAUGUCAGAGGGGGGUAGAAUUCCGCGUGUAGCAGUGAAAUGCGUAGAGAUGCGGAGGAAUACCGAUGGCGAAGGCAGCCCCCUGGGAUAAUACUGACGCUCAGGCGCGAAAGCGUGGGGAGCAAACAGG